CAGCAGUCGCCGCGGUAAUACGGAGGGUGCAAGCGUUAAUCGGAAUUACUGGGCGUAAAGCGCACGCAGGCGGUCUGACAAGUCAGAUGUGAAAUCCCCGGGCUUAACCUGGGAACUGCAUUUGAAACUGUCAGGCUGGAGUCUUGUAGAGGGGGGUGGAAUUCCAGGUGUAGCGGUGAAAUGCGUAGAGAUCUGGAGGAAUACCGGUGGCGAAGGCGGCCCCCUGGACAAAGACUGACGCUCAGGUGCGAAAGCGUGGGGAGCAAACAGGAUUAGAUACCCGGGUAGUCCCUGUCUCUUAUAC
rnacentral:rRNA from 1 species